GGCGCCUUGGCGGAGGGGUUACGCAGCGGUCUGCAAAACCGCGUACACGAGUUCGAUUCUCGUAGGUGCCUCCA
rnacentral:tRNA from 1 species